rnacentral:sRNA from 1 species
UAUUUUAGGAAAUUAGUUAAGGUAAAUAACAAAUAUGCUUAGUUUAGAGAUAUUAUUUAUUUUAAAUUUGGUAAUUAAAUCAUUAAUUUCGUUUUUGAAUUAUUAGUUCUUAGGUAACUUUUCCAAAAAUUAAUGUUAUCCAAGAUCCGAACAGAAUUAAACAUGUUAUCCAGGAUCCGAACAGAGUUAAACCUGGUAAAACCCACCCAUUUGAAUUAAUUGUUGAAUUAUGGCUCAAAUCUUCAACAUUAUCUUCAAAAAACUGCUACAAAAAUGUAUAUAUAGAUACGGAAAAACGGUCUAUUUCUCCACGAGAACUAUGACAUCAUGCCAGAUAGAGCCCGAUCUAUGACCACGAUCCAGAUGACCCCGAAAAGAUAAUUCUCGAUCUAUAUCUCCAUGAAUCUAUAGUUCAAAACCUAUAUCAACCCCAUAAGCAUAAUUUUCACCUAUUUACCCACAACCAUUGGUUUUGUUCGGUUUACUAUUUCUAUAACCAACUAAUGAAAACACUAAACCAGAAUAAACCUAAUUUAACCGAGUAUCACUAAAUAAAUAAACAAAUUAAUUAAUUAAUUGAAUUAUUAUGAAACAGUAACAACACGAUGACGUUCUUCUUCCUUUCAAUGGUGAUGGUGAUGGUGAUGUUGGCUCCAGUGAUGGUGGCUAUAGAUAUAUUUUCCAGUUUUUCCCCUUUUCUUCUUAUCCCUCAUCUCCGCUCAGAUCUGCUGCUUAAGCAAAGCUUCAUCGACUUUGAUUAAACUCGAAUUGAGACCUUCCCACAUUAUUCCACCCAUUGAAAUCACUUGCUUCAUUUUGUAGAAGAUUAAUAACGUUGAAUCAGCCAUUGUCGACUUGAUGGUUUGUGUUGAUUGUUUUCUGUUUUUUGUAAUUACCAGAUUGAUUUUAAGAUGAGCAAUUGAAAGAACAGUAAUAGAAUUGGAUAAAACUUAUUUAAUAAUUGAGAUGUUGAUUUUGUUUAAUUGGGUUGUUCUUUUGUGAAUUGUAAAAUUCAUGCGGAAGCUCACCUCGAUCUUCUCUUUCUUAGCCAUAUUCUUAGCAACGAUUCCAGUUUUCAGGUCAAUGUCGAUGUUAACGUUAUUAGCAAUGAGAAUGCGUUUAAAAUGCUUUGUUGAAUAUCUCUUCAUUAGUUACGACAAAUUUGUAUGUGGAUUCAAAAUAAAUCUAACACCCAUCGUAACAAUCAAAGAGAGAUAAACUAUUUUUUCAAAUAAACAUAAUCUGGAAUUUUAUAGGGAAGAAGAGAGAAGACAAGACGACAGCAAUUUUGUUAUUUCUUUUUUUAUUAUUAAUUU